UGCCCAGCAACUCCUAUCCCUACCUCAUCGCGGUACCCGCCGGAAACUAUGAGCAACCUUAGGGAAGAUCGGGUAACCAACCCCGGUGGGAACUUUCGUCGUAGGCUGGCAGGGAAGG
rfam:Aedes albopictus isolate Foshan contig60875, whole genome shotgun sequence.